UAACGACGUUAAAGUCAGGCUCACAGACGGCCUGUAUGACCCUUGCCUCUGCCUUUCCCUUUUCUCCUCCUAUCCCUAACGCAGCCGCCGCCGCCGCUCGGCUCUCCCUUGCCAAUGCACACAUGCACUCGCCGCCGCCGCUCGACUCUCCCCUCCCAAUGGCACCCCGUCGCUCACCAUCAAAUGUUUCCUCCCCUACAAGUGCAAGAUCGCCAAUGAGGUGGUAUAGCCAUCCGCCACACCUGCCACUGUCCCUUUGCCAUUUCUGGUCCUAGAUCUGUGUUACCUGCAUUUUUCUUUGCCACGGGAUCGGGAUGGUGGAGGAGCAGCUGGUGGGGAUUAGCAUCUUGCUUCAGAUAUCUAUUCUCGUGCUCUCGUUCAUGCUCAGAUAUUGAUGGCGCUGUUGGUGGACCCACCUGACAUCAAGAGGGAGAUGUAGAUGGAGAUGCAGCCCGCACCACCACCAUCUGCUGCGGCGUCGGCAUCGCAGACGGCGUGGCCACUGGAUUGGCCGGUGGACGGGCGCUCGCUCAAUCCUCCAUCGCCGCCCACUAUAUCAGUCCAGUAUGUGAGUCAUAUUGAUUUUAUAAUUGAUUUUAUGCGCCAGUUCUUGCCUCGACUAAUGGGUCCUCUUCCAUUUUGUAAUCACCUCUGCAUGUUUACUGUAUCACUUUGGUAAAUUACUAUUGUUCCAUGUUGUCUUCCACAACAUACUGCACUAGUUCAGUGGUUAGUUUCCUAUUCAACCAUUUCGUAAUGAAGGAGGUAUUGGUAUUUAGGUAAAUAUUUAUUUAUGAUUGUGCUGGUAUUAUCUCAAUAGGCUGGAAAAUUUUAAAUAACCUAAUAUGACAUAAACCUCAACUGCCCAUGCACUCUUAGUUGUUGUUUUGAACCGGUCUUUCGUUGUUUUUCUUUUCACCAAAAAAUAAAAUCUUGAUGAUGUGUGACACACCUGUUUGGUUAUAUCAUGUUAUCUAUGUAGUUCGGCCAAUUAAACUAUGUUAUCAGGUAUAACUAGAUGAGGCAAAUUAUAUAUAUAUAUAUAUAUAUAUAUAUAUAUAUAUAUAUAUAUAUAUAUAUAUAUAUAUAUAUAUAUAUAUGUAUAUAUAUCGAAAUAAAUUGUUUUAUGAAUAUCCAAAUAAACCAUAUAGUGUCGAAGCUGGGUACUUUCCAUUGCCAUCAUUAAUGGACAACAAUAUGCUACUAUCUCACAUAUAUUAUGAAAUGUUUCUACACGCAUGGAGCAUUUCUUGCAGUAGAGCGCUAGGUAUGCUCUCUAUGCCUACGAUGAUUUAUAUGAGGAUGACUUAGAUAAGGAGGUGGAUCACAUGUCAGUUUCGAGCAAGGUGAGUGCCAUGUUCUGCAUAGUAUUUUGUGCAGUUAUUUGAUUGAUUCACAUUUUCAAAUGAUCGGUUGAAACUCUGUUAUGCUUGACUAGACUGAAUCUAGAUUGUUUACUAAAAUUGGGCAUGUGUUUUAAUUGUAGUGGUUUGUAGCUAUCUGUCAUUGCACACUGAUUCAAGUGACAACGAUUUCUUUUCUGUGGAUGCAUUUUAGUAGGAUUGGCCACCAGGGUCGUGGAGUAUAUGUUGCCCAAUUUUAAUGAGGUCUGGUGGGAUAUCAUUACCUUAGAUAUCUUGAUAUGCAAAUAGUUUGGUGAGACAUUUGAAGAUAAUUGAUGUUCAUGUCACAAACAUUCAGUUACCUUGUUUAUAUUAAUGUGAUCUGCAAUAAGUUAGAAUUAAGCAGCCGACAUGUCCUCCGUUUGCUUGAUUUUAUACAGUUUCUUUACAUCAGAUAUAUAUCUAUUAGUCAGAAAGGAAAAUAAAAACUAAUACAUAUUUGACAUACUUCUGACAUCACAUUUUGUUUGACUAUACUAUUUAAUGUUAUGCCACUUGUCGAAUAUGCAUGGCCUUGGGAAUCCAAGAAGAAUUGUUGGCAUUUGUAACAUUAUUUGGUAAUGAUAGUUCUAUGCUUUCUACUUAAACAACAAUUAUUUUUGAUGCAGGUGUUUGGACUGGAAUGCGCACAGUCUGUUACUUUGAUGCAAAACGUAUGAAUUGGUUGGACAGAGCCGCCAACGAAGUACCAUGGGUAAGGAUGUGCUGGACAAUGAAAGCUUCUGUCUUGAAAUAAUAGGAUACAAGAAGCUUGCAAGUGGUUUUGUGAAGGCUUUUGUGAAUCACUUGAAUCAUUAGUUCUUUUAAGAAUGGUUUUGUAAAGCGUUAGCAAAUAUGUGUAAAACACAAUAAGAUGUGUGGCAAAUUCAGUGAUCUAGUUGUACAAUUUUUUGUGUUUAUGGGAUAUGUGGAUAUUUCAUUGUGGAAUGUUAAUGAAGUGUGUAUGUCUAUGUGAUUAUGUGUAUAAAAUAUAUGUUUUGUGGUGCUUUUGUGAUAA